GACAGAGGUCUCGAGCGUUAGGCGGAAUCACUGGGCUUAAAGCGUGUGUAGGCGGACUGGUAAGUACUUUGUGAAAUCCCCCCGGCUCAACCGGGGAACUGCUUGGUAUACUGCCGGUCUUGAGCCACUUAGGGGCAGCUGGAACAAAACGGUGGAGCGGUGAAAUGCGUAGAUAUCGUUUGGAACGCCAAAGGUGAAAACAGGCUGCUGGGAGUGUGCUGACGCUGAGACACGAAAGCCAGGGGAGCAAACGGG
rnacentral:rRNA from 1 species